GUGUCAGCAGCCGCGGUAAUACGAAGGGUGCAAGCGUUACUCGGAAUUACUGGGCGUAAAGCGUGCGUAGGUGGUUUGUUAAGUCAGAUGUGAAAGCCCCGGGCUCAACCUGGGAAUUGCAUUUGAUACUGGCAGACUAGAGUGCGGUAGAGGAGAGUGGAAUUCCCGGUGUAGCAGUGAAAUGCGUAGAGAUCGGGAGGAACAUCAGUUGCGAAGGCGGCUCUCUGGACCAGCACUGACACUGAGGCACGAAAGCGUGGGGAGCAAACAGGAUUAGAUACCCUGGUAGUCCACGCCCUAAACGAUGCGAACUGGACGUUGGGAUCAAUUGAGAUUUCAGUGUCGAAGCUAACGCGUUAAGUUCGCCGCCUGGGGAGUACGGUCGCAAGACUGAAACUCAAAUAAAUUGACGG
rnacentral:rRNA from 1 species